rnacentral:rRNA from 1 species
AUUGAACGCUGGCGGCAUGCCUUACACAUGCAAGUCGAACGGCAGCACGGGUGCUUGCACCUGGUGGCGAGUGGCGAACGGGUGAGUAAUACAUCGGAACAUGUCCUGUAGUGGGGGAUAGCCCGGCGAAAGCCGGAUUAAUACCGCAUACGAUCUACGGAUGAAAGCGGGGGACCUUCGGGCCUCGCGCUAUAGGGUUGGCCGAUAGCUGAUUAGCUCGUUGGUGGGGUAAAGGCCUACCAAGGCGACGAUCAGUAGCUGGUCUGAGAGGACGACCAGCCACACUGGGACUGAGACACGGCCCAGACUCCUACGGGAGGCAGCAGUGGGGAAUUUUGGACAAUGGGCGAAAGCCUGAUCCAGCAAUGCCGCGUGUGUGAAGAAGGCCUUCGGGUUGUAAAGCACUUUUGUCCGGAAAGAAAUCCUUGGCUCUAAUACAGUCGGGGGAUGACGGUACCGGAAGAAUAAGCACCGGCUAACUACGUG